GCAGUCGUGGUCGAGUAUAGUUAAGGCGAUGGACUAGGAAUUCAUUGGGGCUUCCCCGCACUGGUUCGAAUCCUGGCGACUGUG
rnacentral:tRNA from 1 species